rnacentral:rRNA from 1 species
GACGAACGCUGGCGGCGUGCCUAAUACAUGCAAGUCGAGCGAGCGGCGGACGGGUGAGUAAUGUAUGGGCAUCUGCCUGAUGGAGGGGGAUAACUACUGGAAACGGUGGCUAAUACCGCAUACGGUCCGAUGAACCCAUAUGGGAUUAGCUAGUGGGUGGGGUAACGGCUCACCUAGGCGACGAUCCCUAGCUGGUCUGAGAGGAUGAUCGGCCACACUGGGACUGAGACACGGCCCAGACUCCUACGGGAGGCAGCAGUGGGGAAUAUUGCACAAUGGGCGCAAGCCUGAUGCAGCCAUGCCGCGUGUAUGAAGAAGGCUUUCGGGUUGUAAAGUACUGUCAGUCGGGAGGCGUUACCUACAGAAGAAGCACCGGCUAACUCCGUGCCAGCAGCCGCGGUAAUAC